UGGAGAUGUUGCCUAGGUAACCGAACUUUCAGCGUGCUGGAACUGUUCAGCAGGUGUCAGUUAACAGAGCUCUUCCAACGCAUACAAAUCGAGCAGGAGUAUUUAAAACACAGAAAAGCAAAUCCACUGUUGUUUCGCUGCCAACAAUCCCCGUCAAACACUCCUCCUCAUCAGCUCUCGCAGCUGCACGCGCUGUGGGAGGCAGCUUCCCGGUGGGACAGGAUUCCAGCAAUGCUGGGAGGACUGGAGCAACUGGGCUACACACAGAGCAUCUUCUCUAGUUCUGAGGGCCCUGGGAACUAGGAUCUCAGUUGAUGUGCUUUCCAGUGACAGUGCAUCCAGAGCAACUCACAAUCAGCCCAGUCCAAGAGAGAUAUGUCCUUUCUUCAGUGUGUUGUCUCCUUCAAGAUGUCAGGACCACAUAGGAGCACAAUGUUGACUUACAGGUAUGCAGGAUGAACUCCCAUUAGUUCUAACAUACUUUGAACCCUCUGGCAUGAUUUUGCAAUUUUGAAUAAAUUAUAAAUAUGAAGAUAUAUUUCUCUGAAUUCCUGAACAGCUACAGUUACAACAUAACACAGAACAACACAGUGCAGAUUUCCAGCACUGCAUUAUCAUCA
rnacentral:lncRNA from 1 species